UCCUUUUCAGGAAUUAAGAACCUAUAGGAGUAUUCAGCAGGAAACGAUCCUUGUGCACUCAAACAACAGUGCAAGGCUUCAAGACCUGGAGGAAUUCUGGCACAGCUCUCAGGAUUGCUCAUGAUUACAUGGCUGUCCAUCAUGGAGACUGAGUGAUCCUUGCUUGAUGGAAACAUUAGCCAUGGGAGCCUCCCCUGCCAUCUCGCCUUUGUUCCUUAUGGCCAUGGGAUGUGGUGUGCAGGAACGGUCAUCAUCUGAUCCUUGUCUACAGAUGCCAUGUGGACACAACCUACGACAAAACUCCACCAUCUUGUUUUUGAUCCUGGUGGUAAACACCUUUCUACUGGAACUGAGGCAUCUAGAAAUCUUCAUAUGGCUGACACUGCAUGAGGAAGUGCCUGUUCCACAGGUUUGUGAAGGCAGAAAAUAAGUCCUUCAGAUACCUGCAUUGUUUUAAUGGAUGCAUCCACUUGCUGACCUGGCUAUUUGUGGGCUCCAGUGCCGGCCAGAAGAUCCAGGUUAAAAAACACUGCUGAAGAAAAUAACAGAGACAGUAGAAGCUGCAACACUGGGCAACUACAGCCCCAAGCAGGGAAUCUGGCCAUUCUUAUAAAGAAUGCUCAGGCUGACUCACUUGAGAGAUGGCAGGCCACUUCUGCCAUCCCACUUACUUUGUCAGCCUAAAGGACUGUCAUUCUUCCAAAAAUUCAUCAGGAAACAAAGAGACACAGAUUUACAACUCCCUCCUACAAACAGUUCUGGAUGACAGCAGCAUCCCUAGAGUCACUAAAAUAUCUCUUCAAAUAUGUCACCUCACCUGGGUGCCAGGCCGGUGCUCAGCUCUUGCCACAAAAACUGGGUGAACACAUACAAAUUUAUUCUGCAAAGGACUACACCUGCGGAUCACAGUUUCCAGCCCCUGCUAGCACAACAUCUUCAUGUUGAAAGGACACAUGAAUAAAUGAACCAAAAAAUAUUCUUAGGAGAAGCAGGAAGUGCAGUUGCACAGUCAAUUUGAAUUUGGUCAAUAUAGUAGUGCCUCUGAAACAAGAGAGAGAUACUUUCCUUUUGAUGGUCUCAAUCUGUUCAUGAAGCAGCACUAUCUCAGGUGUUCUGUGAAUAUUCUUACAACCAUCAGGAUUAAUAGGUACUGCUGGGUGCUGGUGAGGCACUAGACCAGAAAUCAGGAGAAACUGCCUCUUUCCUGGUUUCCUCUAACAUGGUUCAGUGACACAUCUGUAAUUUUCUAGAAUAAAUAACUUAGAUUACUUAGGUUACAUCUUGAAAACUAUUCCCUGAUCCUGAGUUCUGAAAGAAUAGAGAACAACUCUUUGUAAGAUGAGACACCAAACCACAAGUACCCCAAAACACCAGUCAGAUUUAGCACACUUUCUUUUUACCAGCUUACAUCCUUAUUUCCUGAAUUUAACAAUGCUUCCUUGUAAAACACUCUGAGACUGAAACACAGAAACUGCUAUUAAAGCUAUUGCUAUUUUUGUUUUGAUUGUCAUUUUCUAUUUCUGCUGCUCUGGUAUUUGAUUACAUUUGAGACAUGGGAAUAUAGAAAAGGAUGCCAUUAUAGCUGUUCAUUCUU
rnacentral:lncRNA from 1 species